UACGUAGGGACCAAGCGUUGUUCGGAUUUACUGGGCGGAAAGGGCGCGUAGGCGGCUUGACAAGUCACUUGUGAAAUCUCCGGGCUUAACUCGGAACGGCCAAGUGAAACUGUCAUGCUAGAGUGCAGAAGGGGCAAUCGGAAUUCUUGGUGUAGCGGUGAAAUGCGUAGAUAUCAAGAGGAACACCUGAGGUGAAGACGGGUUGCUGGGCUGACACUGACGCUGAGGCGCGAAAGCCAGGGGAGCAAACGGG
rnacentral:rRNA from 1 species